rnacentral:lncRNA from 1 species
AUCAACAGAUAAAUUAUUGCCACCUGAGUUAGCUUUCCAUUGGUUCAAAUAUCAGGUUCAUUGGAUCUAUAUAACUCCAGAUAUGACAAAAACAAUAAGUGCUGCUUCACAGGUAAAGCUGUAUCCGGCAGGUAACAAGCUGGACUUUGCACGGUAAUUUUGGCUGCCUUGUGAUACGAAUUUGACUUCUUCCAAAACAUGAAAGUUGUAGAAACGUGCCUUAUCUUUCCAACCGAACUUGAAUAAGCUCGAUCCAAUGUCUUCAGCUCAUGUUAUUAUUAUUUUACCGACAGCUGCUUCUUGCUUGAGGCGCUCACUAUUUUUGACUUUUCAACAUUAUUUUCCUCCACUUGCUCCACUUGUUCUAAAUUGGAAAUACAUGUGAAAUACAUCAAAUAGAUACUCUUUCAAAUGUAUAAUACUCAUGCCGACAUGUAUGUAAAUACGUAUUUCAAUUAAUUGCAUUUUUAUCCAUGUAUUUAUGGAAAUUGAAUUUACGGCUAGAGAAUUGAAAUUAGAGACUAACAUUAGUGUUUUUAAACAAAGUGAAUGUAAAGUGCCUUGUAAA